rnacentral:misc_RNA from 1 species
UGAGGGCAUGGACGAGAUGGAG